GCUCCCAUGGCGUAGUGGUCACUGCGCUCGCCUUGCACGCGGGAGACCCGGGUUCGAUUCCCGGCGGGGUUA
rfam:Asian citrus Psyllid, Diaphorina citri - Florida Strain, whole genome shotgun sequence.